AUUGAACGCUGGCGGCAGGCCUAACACAUGCAAGUCGAACGGUAACAGGAAGAAGCUUGCUUCUUUGCUGACGAGUGGCGGACGGGUGAGUAAUGUCUGGGAAACUGCCUGAUGGAGGGGGAUAACUACUGGAAACGGUAGCUAAUACCGCAUAACGUCGCAAGACCAAAGAGGGGGACCUUCGGGCCUCUUGCCAUCGGUUGUGCCCAGAUGGGAUUUGCUAGUAGGUGGGGUAACGGCUCACCUAGGCGACGAUCCCUAGCUGGUCUGAGAGAAUGACCGGACACACUGGAACUGAGGCACGGUCCAGACUCCUACGAGAGGCAGCAGUGGCGAAUAUUCCACAGGGGGCGCAAGCCUGAUCCAGCCAGGCCGCGUGUAUGAAGAAGACCUUAGGGUUGUAAAGUGCUUUCAGCCGGGAGAAAGGGAGUAACGUUCAGACCUUGACUCAUUGACGUUAACCGCAGAAGAAGCACCGGCUAACUCCGUG
rnacentral:rRNA from 1 species